CAGAUUGAACGCUGGCGGCAGGCCUAACACAUGCAAGUCGAGCGGAAACGAGUUAACUCCUUCGGGUGACGUUAACGGCGUCGAGCGGCGGACGGGUGAGUAAUGCCUGGGAAAUUGCCCUGAUGUGGGGGAUAACCAUUGGAAACGAUGGCUAAUACCGCAUAAUGCCUUCGGGCCAAAGAGGGGGACCUUCGGGCCUCUCGCGUCAGGAUAUGCCCAGGUGGGAUUAGCUAGUUGGUGAGGUAAUGGCUCACCAAGGCGACGAUCCCUAGCUGGUCUGAGAGGAUGAUCAGCCACACUGGAACUGAGACACGGUCCAGACUCCUACGGGAGGCAGCAGUGGGGAAUAUUGCACAAUGGGCGCAAGCCUGAUGCAGCCAUGCCGCGUGUGUGAAGAAGGCCUUCGGGUUGUAAAGCACUUUCAGCAGUGAGGAAGGCGGGUACGUUAAUAGCGUGCUCGUUUGACG
rnacentral:rRNA from 1 species